CCGUAGCUCAGUUGGUAGAGCAGCUCACUCGUAAUGAGCAGGUCGCAGGUUCAAUUCCUGUCAGU
rnacentral:tRNA from 1 species